AUUGAACGCUGGCGGCAGGCCUAACACAUGCAAGUCGAACGGUAACAGGAAGCAGCUUGCUGCUUUGCUGACGAGUGGCGGACGGGUGAGUAAUGUCUGGGAAACUGCCUGAUGGAGGGGGAUAACUACUGGAAACGGUAGCUAAUACCGCAUAACGUCGCAAGACCAAAGAGGGGGACCUUCGGGCCUCUUGCCAUCGGAUGUGCCCAGAUGGGAUUAGCUAGUAGGUGGGGUAACGGCUCACCUAGGCGACGAUCGCUAGCUGGUCUGAGAGGGUGACAGGCAAGAGGGGGACGGAAAUACGGCCGAGACAACUAAGGGAGGGAGCAGUGGGGAAGAGUGCAAAAGGGGCGGAAGACGGAUGAAGUAACGCCGGGGGGGGGAGGACGGCCUGCGGGUUGGAAAACGCGUGCGCCUGUGAAGAAGCGUGAGGGACGGGAAGGGGUAAAGAAGCACAGGCUAACUAAGGG
rnacentral:rRNA from 1 species